AGGCUAUCAACCAGUAGAAAAACGAUUUAACGAGGAUUGAUUUGAUAGAAAAAAAAUUUCAACAGCAAAAAGAUGUAAAAUAUAGUGCAAAGAAGAGGAAAGAAAAGAAAAAGAGAAGAAAUAAAAAAGAUGAAGUGAAGUCUUACUAGGAUUUGGAAAUAGGCAAAUCUAGUCCAAUUGGGAAAAUAAUGGUUAAAUAGUUAGGGUUUGAAAACCUAGGGGUGACAAGCGUAAAAUUUUAGGCCGAAAUAAAAGGAAAAUAAAAGGGAAGAGAGUGGCUCAAACCUAAAAUCACUUAAGGGGAAAGUUAACUCUUAAGCAUUAGAACCACUACACCAAAACAGGUUUUUAGCGGCGCUUUUUUAUGCCUUUAGCGACGUUUUUUAGCGCCGCUAAAAGUAUUUGCGGCGUUUUUGAAAGCAUCGCAAAAAACGCUGCCAUUGUCAACGCCGCUAUAGAUCAGGACCUUUAGCGGCGCUUUUUCCACAAACGCCACUAUAGAUCAUGACCUUUAGCGGCGCUUUUACACAAACGCCGCUAUAGAUCAUGACCUUUAGCGACGCUUCAA
rnacentral:lncRNA from 1 species